rnacentral:rRNA from 1 species
GAUGAACGCUGGCGGCGUGCCUAAUACAUGCAAGUCGAUCGAACGGACGAGGAGCUUGCUUUUCUGAUGUUAGCGGCGGACGGGUGAGUAACACGUGGAUAACCUACCUAUAAGACUGGGAUAACUUCGGGAAACCGGAGCUAAUACCGGAUAAUAUUUUGAACCGCAUGGUUCAAAAGUGAAAGACGGUCUUGCUGUCACUUAUAGAUGGAUCCGCGCUGCAUUAGCUAGUUGGUAAGGUAACGGCUUACCAAGGCAACGAUGCAUAGCCGACCUGAGAGGGUGAUCGGCCACACUGGAACUGAGACACGGUCCAGACUCCUACGGGAGGCAGCAGUAGGGAAUCUUCCGCAAUGGGCGAAAGCCUGACGGAGCAACGCCGCGUGAGUGAUGAAGGUCUUCGGAUCGUAAAACUCUGUUAUUAGGGAAGAACAUAUGUGUAAGUAACUGUGCACAUCUUGACGGUACCUAAUCAGAAAGCCACGGCUAACUACGUG